rnacentral:rRNA from 1 species
UGUCGUCAGCUCGUGUUGUGAAAUGUUGGGUUAAGUCCCGCAACGAGCGCAACCCUUAUCCUUUGUUGCCAGCGGUCCGGCCGGGAACUCAAAGGAGACUGCCAGUGAUAAACUGGAGGAAGGUGGGGAUGACGUCAAGUCAUCAUGGCCCUUACGACCAGGGCUACACACGUGCUACAAUGGCGCAUACAAAGAGAAGCGACCUCGCGAGAGCAAGCGGACCUCAUAAAGUGCGUCGUAGUCCGGAUUGGAGUCUGCAACUCGACUCCAUGAAGUCGGAAUCGCUAGUAAUCGUGGAUCAGAAUGCCACGGUGAAUACGUUCCCGGGCCUUGUACACACCGCCCGUCACACCAUGGGAGUGAGUUGCAAAAGAAGUAGGUAGCUUAACCUUCGGGAGGGCGCUUACCACUUUGUGAUUCAUGACUGGGGUGAAGUCGUAACAAGGUAACCGUAGGGGAACCUGCGGUUGGAUCACCUCCUUACCUUAAAGAAGC